rnacentral:tRNA from 44 species
AGGGGUGUAGCUCAAUUGGCAGAGCGUCGGUCUCCAAAACCGAAGGUCGCGGGUUCGAUUCCCUCCGCCCCUGCCA